rnacentral:rRNA from 1 species
GGAAAGUAGCUUGCUACUUUGCCGGCGAGCGGCGGACGGGUGAGUAAUGUCUGGGAAACUGCCUGAUGGAGGGGGAUAACUACUGGAAACGGUAGCUAAUACCGCAUAACGUCGCAAGACCAAAGAGGGGGACCUUCGGGCCUCUUGCCAUCAGAUGUGCCCAGAUGGGAUUAGCUAGUAGGUGGGGUAACGGCUCACCUAGGCGACGAUCCCUAGCUGGUCUGAGAGGAUGACCAGCCACACUGGAACUGAGACACGGUCCAGACUCCUACGGGAGGCAGCAGUGGGGAAUAUUGCACAAUGGGCGCAAGCCUGAUGCAGCCAUGCCGCGUGUAUGAAGAAGGCCUUCGGGUUGUAAAGUACUUUCAGCGGGGAGGAAGGCGGUGAGGUUAAUAACCUCACCGAUUGACGUUACCCGCAGAAGAAGCACCGGCUAACUCCGUGCCAGCAGCCGCGGUAAUACGGAGGGCGCAAGCGUUAAUCGGAAUUACUGGGCGUAAAGCGCACGCAGGCGGUCUGUCAAGUCGGAUGUGAAAUCCCCGGGCUCAACCUGGGAACUGCAUUCGAAACUGGCAGGCUAGAGUCUUGUAGAGGGGGGUAGAAUUCCAGGUGUAGCGGUGAAAUGCGUAGAGAUCUGGAGGAAUACCGGUGGCGAAGGCGGCCCCCUGGACAAAGACUGACGCUCAGGUGCGAAAGCGUGGGGAGCAAACAGGAUUAGAUACCCUGGUAGUCCACGCCGUAAACGAUGUCGACUUGGAGGUUGUGCCCUUGAGGCGUGGCUUCCGGAGCUAACGCGUUAAGUCGACCGCCUGGGGAGUACG